UCGAGGGUGCGUCAAGAAAUCAGCAUAGCAAGUUUGUAAGAAGGUCUGGUUAUUAAAUGUGUAAAUAGUUCAAUAGUAAUACGCUCUGGUGACAAACUUUGCUGCCCUGUUUCCAAUUGUUUACAUGGCUGGGAGAACCUAUUCAAGUAGCUAGCACACACGUCUUUGUCCCAUGGAGGAGGGUGAAAGGAUAGCAGCCCCAACUGUCAAAGGCACUGCAAGGUUGAGUGACCAGGGCCAUCUGGGACUGCCUCCUGGAGGAAGUCAGGUGUGUGAGGGCUACCUGUCCUGCAUAACUUAAUGAGGAUGGACACGAGGACCAGGAGGGGAUCUGCAGCUCGCUGCCGCAUGCAAGAGGAGAAGUCUGGUGCUCUGCAGGAUCUUUCAAGGAUAGACUACACUAUGCACAACCAAAGGCUCUUUUUAAGAGCCAUCCACAUUGCAAUAUGAGUAUUCUUCAAUUUACUUAGCUAUGUCAACUGCUGUUAUUCAAUUCCUUGUUUCUCUCCCUUUGAUUUCUACUUCUCAGCUGAGGGUACUGUUUAGGUAAGGGUGUGACGUCGGUACAAAAACAAAACGGGCUAUUAUAAGUCACCCACAUUGAACAAAUUUAGAACAAUUAGACACCAUAACCCACACCUACACUCAUGUAUCAAUCUAAAUGAUGCAGUAUGCAGGCUCUGGUGUAUAUAACUGUGGCUCCUUCAAAGAACAGGCAAGAGGGCCAACCAUGGAGAAUAGUAAGACACUUCAUUAUUUCUAUAACUACGCUAAAUUGUUUGUCCUCAUGUGUCCGUUCAUGUUUUUCAGCAUAAAGUACUCUGCAGCCACUUAGUGUGGACACCAGGUUAUAUCAGCUGUGUCGGUGAACCCCUCCCGCAUCUGAACUGGCUACAUAGAGGGCACAGUAUGAUCAGAGGUGAGAGGUCACUUGGUCAGGUCAACAGGAAGUAUUAUUAAAGGGAUGCUUUACAUUGAAAAACAGAUUGAGAUGUAGUAGUCUCAGAGUUAAUGAUCCAAGGUCAGUUUUGCAUUUCACCUGAUGAAAUUCAGAUUGUGUUAGAAUAAAAAACAAACAAGUCUUAAUUAUGCUCGCUCUCCAUCUCUCGUCUGCAGAUAUGUUUUGCUGUGAAAGAGGAUUCCAACCCCCAGUCCCGUCAUCGCCACCUCACCCGCUCUUAAGAUAACCUUCGGGCCGACUGGGAGUCCAAGGCUGGUUAGGAGACGCCACUAGAGACACUUAUGUCAUUUGGUGGAAUGAAAGAAUAUUAGGGUAGCACUGUGAUUCAUUAAUCAUAUGCUGCCUUCCCUGCUCCAAUGUCCUUACCUCUUUCUCUUUGUCUUUAACACCUCUCUCGCCACGUUUCUUCCUCUGUUUUCAUAAUGCACAACAGAUGUGCAUUGAAGUACAGAUUGAACUUGUAUUUAUAACACUUAGAGAAUUUGAAAUGCUUAAUUUUCCACUGGUUGAAAUUAAGUCUCUCAUUUGAUGAAAUACUACACCUGUCCUGUGUUUAUCAGAUCAAUGCAGAUGAAGGGCAUUAGAUAUUGAGAUGAACCGGUUUGAGUAUUUACAUGAUGCAUAGGAAGUGUAGUGUACUGUUUUUUUUUUUUUUCGUACUUCUGUAUAUAUGAAUUAUAAAUCUGCCUUUAACUAGUAAAAUCAUGUUUCUAGUCUAUUGCAUAGUUACAAUGUGUAACCAUUGAUGUCCCAGGACCAAGAUUGGUAAACACUGUUGAAGUGUACAAUUGUAAUACAUGCAGGCACAGCAUCAUUCAAAGAUUGGAAUUGGAAAUGAAUGGAAAAUUCUCAGACAUUCGUACCUGAAUUGCACCAUUAUUUGCCAAGGUUUUGAGUACAUGAUCAGUGAAUAUACAGUGUUAAAUGUACAGGCUACAAUGUGGGGAUCUCAUGCAUGGUAAUGACUACAUGUAUAUACGACUUGCAUCUGUGGCAGAAAGUUAUAUCUAAUCAAAUUUUGCGGUUGAGCGAGGUGCAGUUGCCAUACCAGACAGUGAUACAGCCUCACAGGAUGCUCUCGAUUGUGCAUCUGUAAAAGUGAGUGUUUUCGGUGACAAGCCAAAUUUCCUCAGCUGUAGUCAAUGAACAGCAUUCUUACAAAGGUAUUCCUCUUGUCCAGAUGGGAUAGGGCAGUGUGCAGAGAGAUGACAAUUGCAUUGUCAGUAGACCUUAUUGGGCAGUAAGCAAAUUGGAGUGGGUAUAGGGUAUCAGGUAGGGUGGAGGUGAUAUGAUAAUUGACUAGUCUCUCAAAGCACUUCAUGAUGACAGAUGUGAGUGCAAUGGGGUGAUAGUCAUUUAUUUUAGUUACCUUAGCUUUCUUGGGGACAGGAACAAUGGUGGCCAUCUUGAAGCAUGUGGGGACAGCAAACUGGGAUAGGGAUUGAUUGAAUCUGUCCGUAAACACACCAGCCAGCUGGUCUGUAUGCUCUGAGGACGCGGCUAGCGAUGCUGUCUGGGCCAGCAGCCUUGCAAGGGUUAACAUGUUUAAAUGUUUUACUCACGCUGGUCACGGAGAGGGAGAGCCAACAGCGGGCCGUGUCAAUAGCACUGUAUUGUCCUCAAUGGAGCAAAGAAUUUGUUUAAUUUGUCUGGGAGCAAGACGUCGAUGUCCGUGACGGGGCUGGUUUUCUUUUUGUCAUCUGUGAUUGACUGAAAACCCUGCCACAUACAUCUCGUGUUUGAGCCGUUGAAUUGCGACUCUACUUUGUCUCUAUACAAGAUAUCGACCGAUUAAUCGGAAUGGCUUUUUUAAUUAGGGCUGAUUUCAAGUUUUCAUAACAUUCGGAAAUCGGUAUUUUUGGGCGCCGAUUUAAAAAUAAAGUUAUUAUUAUUUUAUUUUUUAUACCUUUAUUUAACUAGGCAAGUCAGUUAAGAACACAUUCUUAGUUUCAAUGACGGCCUAGGAACGGUGGGUUAACUGCCUUGUUCAGGGGCAGAACGACAGAUUUUCACCUUGUCAGCUCAGGGGAUCAAAUUUUGCAACAUUAGAGUUAACUAGUCCAACGCAAUAACGACCUGCCUCCUCGUUGCACUCCACAAGGAGACUGCCUGUUACGCGAAUGCAGUAAGCCACGGUAAGUUGCUAGCUAGCAUUAAACAUAUCUUAUAAAAAACAAUCAAUCAUAAUCACUAGUUAACUACACAUGGUUGAUGAUAUCACUAGAUAUUAUCUAGCGUGUCCUGCGUUGCAUAUAAUCUGACUGAGCAUACAAGUAUCUAAGUAUCUGACUGAGCGGUGGUAGGCAGAAGCAGGCACGUAAACAUUGAUUCAAACAGCACUUUCGUGGUGCUUCAAGCAUUGCGCUGAGAUGAGGCUGGUGUAACCAAAGUGAAAUGGCUAGCUAGUUAGCGCGUGCUAAUAGCGUUUCAAACGCCACUUGCUCUGAGCCUUCCAGUAGUUGUUCCCCUUGCUCUGCAUGGAUAACGCUGCUUCGAUGGUGGCUGUUGUCGUUGUGUUGCUGGUUCGAGCCCAGGGAGGAGCUAGGAGAGGGACGGAAGCUAUACUGUUACUGGCAAUACUAAAGUGCCUUUAAGAACAUCCAAUAGUCAAAGGUUAAUGAAAUACAAAUGGUAUAGAGGGAAAUAGUCCUAUAAUAACUUCAACCUAAAACUUCUUACCUGGGAAUAUUGAAGACUCAUGUUAAAAGGAACCACCAACUUUCAUAUGUUCUCAUGUUCUGAGCAAGGAACUGAAAUGUUAGCUUUCUUACAUAGCACAUAUUGCACUUUUACUUUCUUCUCCAACACUUUGUUUUUGCAUUAUUUAAACCAAAUUGAACAUGUUUCAUUAUUUACUUGAGGCCAAAUUGAUUUUAUUGAUGUAUUAUAUUCAGUUAAAAUAAGUGUUCAUUCAGCAUUGUUGUAAUUGUCAUUAUUGCAAAUAAAUAAAUAAAAAAUCCUC